rnacentral:rRNA from 1 species
GUAGGGUGCGAGCGUUGUCCGGAAUUAUUGGGCGUAAAGGGCUCGUAGGCGGUCUGUUGCGUCGGGAGUGAAAACUCAGGGCUUAACCCUGAGCCUGCUUCCGAUACGGGCAGACUAGAGGUAUGCAGGGGAGAACGGAAUUCCUGGUGUAGCGGUGAAAUGCGCAGAUAUCAGGAGGAACACCGGUGGCGAAGGCGGUUCUCUGGGCAUUACCUGACGCUGAGGAGCGAAAGUGUGGGGAGCGAACAGGAUUAGAUACCCUGGUAGUCCACACCGUAAACGUUGGGCGCUAGGUGUGGGACUCAUUCCACGAGUUCCGUGCCGCAGCUAACGCAUUAAGCGCCCCGCCUGGGGAGCACGGCCGCAAGGCUA